AGGAGGCGGCGGAGGGCGGGGGAAGAGGACGGCCGUUCCGGGUUCCGCCUGAGCCCGCAGCGCAGGACGAGGAGGCGGGAGCGGCGCGCUCUGCAACCCAGAGAGUGACCUGCAUGGAGCGUGCCAGCUGAAUCCCUUGUCCUGUGUCUUCUGGCUGAGUUCUACCAUAGGAAACACCGCCACGUGGGAGAACAGGAAGACAUUGAUGUCUGGGUGCUUAUUCCUAAAGCUUCCUCCCUGAGGUCACCUGGAGGUUGCUGCAUCUCUCUACUGAAGGCCACAGUUCCUGUCAUAUGACUGUCUCCAUCCAGCUGCCUUCUCUAAGUUCCAGCAACCACUGUCUCUCUCCCUUGAUCUUUGAGCCUAAAGAGACAAGGUCUCCCUCUGUCACCCAGGCUAGGGUGCAGUGGCACAAUCACGGCUCAGGACCGGUGCAAGAAGGGAAGGUUGCAUUCAUAAGUUAGCAAACUUCAGAAAGCUCUUUGAAAAAAAAAAAAAAAAAAGAAUCUUAUUACCAUUUUGUUUUUGUAGAAAGCCCACUUGAUAAAAGUAUUAAUAACACACAUGAGAAAGAGCUCACAGUGUUUUCCAGAAAAAAACACUUUGAUUCUAUAAAAGAGGUCAGUAGACUACAAUAUGAAGAAUCCUUCUGUUGGCUUAACUUUUAGACUAUAUGACAAGUUCUCUGACUAUAAAGACACUGAUCAAAAGAACUCAGUUUAGCACAAUAUCCAAAGUCCAAAGUACAAGCAAUAAAAGAAGAAUCAGGUAAAUUAGACUACAUCAAAAUGUUAAACUUUUUGCCUCAAAGGACACCAUCAACAGGGUGAAAAGACAAAGCAUGGAAUGGGAGAAAAUAUUUGCAAAUCAUA
rnacentral:lncRNA from 1 species